rnacentral:rRNA from 1 species
UCCUCCUUCAUGUAGAACCGUAAUGCCAUUAAUUUGGUGUUGCGGGGAAACAGGACUGUUACUUUGAAAAAAUUAGAGUGUUUAAAGCAGGCUAGCGCCUGAAUACAUUAGCAUGGAAUAAUGAAAUAGGACGUUCGAACCUAUUUUGUUGGUUUCUAGGAUUGACGUAAUGAUUAAUAGGGAUAGUUGGGGGCAUUAGUAUUCAAUUGUCAGAGGUGAAAUUCUUGGAUUUAUUGAAGACUGACUACUGCGAAAGCAUUUGCCAAGGAUGUUUUCAUUAAUCAAGAACGAAAGUUAGGGGAUCGAAGACGAUCAGAUACCGUCGUAGUCUUAACCAUAAACUAUGCCGACUAGGGAUCGGAUGAUGUUAAUUUUUUAAUGACUCAUUCGGCGCCUUACG